UACGGGGGGGGCAAGCGUUGUUCGGAAUUACGGGGCGUAAAGGGCUCGUAGGCGGCCAACUAAGUCAGACGUGGAAUCCCUCGGCUUAACCGGGGAACUGCGUCUGAUACUGGAUGGCUUGAGUUUGGGAGAGGGAUGCGGAAUUCCAGGUGUAGCGGUGAAAUGCGUAGAUAUCUGGAGGAACACCGGUGGCGAAGGCGGCAUCCUGGACCAACACUGACGCUGAGUGAGCGAAAGCCAGGGGAGCAAACGGG
rnacentral:rRNA from 1 species